rnacentral:rRNA from 1 species
GGGGGGUGCGAGCGUUGUCCGGAAUCACUGGGCGUAAAGGGCGCGUAGGUGGUUUGAUAAGGGUGUGGUGAAAGCCCGGGGCUCAACCCCGGGUCGGCCGUGCCGACUGUUGGACUAGAGUGCUGUAGGGGCAGGCGGAAUUCCGGGUGUAGCGGUGGAAUGCGUAGAGAUCCGGAGGAAGACCGGUGGCGAAGGCGGCCUGCUGGGCAGUUACUGACACUGAGGCGCGACAGCGUGGGGAGCAAACAGGAUUAGAUACCCUGGUAGUCCACGCCGUAAACGAUGGGUACUAGGUGCCUGGGGGAGCGACCCCUUGGGUGCCGGCGCUAACGCAGGAAGUACCCCGCCUGGGGAGUACGACCGCAAGGUUG